UAGAGUUUGAUCCUGGCUCAGAUUGAACGCUGGCGGCAGGCUUAACACAUGCAAGUCGAACGGUAACAUAAAGAAGCUUGCUUCUUUGAUGACGAGUGGCGGACGGGUGAGUAAUGCUUGGGAAUCUAGCUUAUGGAGGGGGAUAACUACGGGAAACUGUAGCUAAUACCGCGUAGUAUCGGAAGAUGAAAGUGUGGGACCUUCGGGCCACAUGCCAUAGGAUGAGCCCAAGUGGGAUUAGGUAGUUGGUGAGGUAAAGGCUCACCAAGCCGUCGAUCUCUAGCUGGUCUGAGAGGAUGACCAGCCACACUGGGACUGAGACACGGCCCAGACUCCUACGGGAGGCAGCAGUGGGGAAUAUUGCGCAAUGGGGGCAACCCUGACGCAGCCAUGCCGCGUGAAUGAAGAAGGCCUUCGGGUUGUAAAGUUCUUUCGGUAGCGAGGAAGGCACUUAGUUUAAUAAACUAGGUGAUUGACGUUAACUACAGAAGAAGCACCGGCUAACUCCGUGCCAGCAGCCGCGGUAAUACGGAGGGUGCGAGCGUUAAUCGGAAUAACUGGGCGUAAAGGGCACGCAGGCGGUGACUUAAGUGAGGUGUGAAAGCCCCGGGCUUAACCUGGGAAUUGCAUUUCAUACUGGGUCGCUAGAGUACUUUAGGGAGGGGUAGAAUUCCACGUGUAGCGGUGAAAUGCGUAGAGAUGUGGAGGAAUACCGAAGGCGAAGGCAGCCCCUUGGGAAUGUACUGACGCUCAUGUGCGAAAGCGUGGGGAGCAAACAGGACUAGAUACCCUGGUAGUCCACGCUGU
rnacentral:rRNA from 1 species